rnacentral:misc_RNA from 1 species
GUAGGUGAACCUGCGGAAGGAUCAUUACACUCAGUAGUUUACUACUGUAAAGGAGGCUGUCAGUCUGUAUAGCUUAAUCGCUGAUGAGCAGCUGGUCUCUUUUAUCUACCCUUGUCUUUUGCGCACCUAUGUUUCCUCGGUAGGCUUGCCUACCGGCUGGACAAAUCUAUAACCUUUUUAAUUUUCAAUCAGCGUCUGAAAAAACCUAAUAAUUACAACUUUCAACAACGGAUCUCUUGGUUCUG